AGGCUGCUUCCAACCCCGAUCUACCCUACCCACGCUGCUUCCAACCCCGAUCUUCUCUCCGCGUGGAGCUGGUGGCAGACGUACAACCGAGGGGACGAAGCAACGGCGUCGUGCCACCGCCACCUCCAAUGCAUAGCAGCCACGCCACCAACGGCACAAGAUUCGCAUGGGGAGGCCAGCCGUCGAGCAAGAGACAUCGAGGACCGGCUAGAUUAGAGUUCUUCUCCAUGAAGACCAUGCCCUUCAUGGUCCGGCGGGGCGGUCACUGUUGUCAACGUCUCCGUGCCCUUCCCGCACGAGGAAAAUAGCAGAUGGCGUCGUCGCCAACUCUAGCAUGUCGGAGAUGACGUGGCCACCAGAUGACGAGCUCCGCCAUGGUUUAUGGCGAGGAGAGGAGAAGUGGUCGUUCGGGUUCUGUGAGAAUGCACGUGCAGGUUCACUCGGAAAUUCCGGAUUUCGAUCUUCAUAUUUACAUCCGAGAGGAAAGGAAGUGUUGCAUAGUCAUAUUUUAUUCCAGUGUUAAUAUUCCAUAAUUGUAUGAUGAAUUGAACCUGAACAUCGGAAGUGGCAAUUGCAAUACACUAAUUUCCAGUUUUGAUUGAUACUUUAUGAAAGAAUAUGUUGGCGGACAUGGCAAUGCAGUUUCAUGUCGACAUCCACUCGAACUGAAGUAUCCGCGGAAGUGAGAACAUAGUAACUGUCUGGACCUCUCGAUGUAGUUAGUGGCAUCAGUUAUAUAAUUACGUUUCAUAUAUCAACUAAUUAAAUGUUGCACUAUUCAUCUAAAAAAAGUAGCACUACUGAUCUACUGUAUGUAAGUAUUGCAGAUUCAUGUACAAUGUUGUCUGAUAAAUUGGUGGCAAAUAGCUGUGUGAGCUUCAUUUGGUGAUCUAUUUUUUUAUAUCCUUCUUUCAUCUGGUAUAACUACAUGGGACUGUAAUUGUUUACUGCAUUUUGCAUCACAUACUUUAUUACUGUACAUAUUACUUGUAUUUUUGUUUUUUUCCUUAUUGCUUCUAUGCUACUGAUUUCGCCACAGCAAAUUUUAUUUUGUUCUCUGGUGCAAAACAUCACACAAUGUCAUGUUAGAAGGACCCUUGAUUUCAUCAUACCCAGAUGGUUUAGUUUCUAAUGAUGGUUGGGGAAGUAGCCUCUGACCAAGCUAUACUAUGAUGACGAGUAGAGUCAAGAUUUUUGUUGUUGCAAGGAUCACAAAGAAAGAAAUCAGUAUUCAAUAGACAGUAGAUUGAUCUUUUGUAACAUCUUUCUUAUAAAUCAGUUUGGUUCACAAUCAGUUGCUCUAUCCAGGUUCUUUGGAAUGCAUGAUGAGACAUGGAUUCCUAAGGAUUGUUCAAGUGCAUUCAAUGUUAAGGGAUGGAACACGGAAUAGCCUUGGCCACAAUGAGCAGUCCCAAACUUCACACAAGUAUGUUCUCUUGUCCACAGAAGGAGUACAAUAUGGGUGACUGCA